CGGGGUGCACCAGGCGCGAAAACUUUACAAUGCUGGCAACAGCGAUAAGGGGACCUCGAGUGCCAGGAUACAAUCUUGGCUGUCGUAAUGCCUAAAAAGCAUUGCAUAGCAAGGGCCGGGCAAGACCGGUGCCAGCCGCCGCGGUAACACCGGCGGCUCGAGUGGUAACCGUUAUUAUUGGGUCUAAAGGGUCUGUAGCCGGCCGGAUAAGUCUCUUGGGAAAUCCAGCAGCUCAACUGUUGGGCUUUCAGGAGAUACUGCCUGGCUCGAGGCCGGGAGAGGUGAGAGGUACUUCAGGGGUAGGGGUGAAGUCUUGUAAUCCUUGAAGGACCACCAGUGGCGAAGGCGUCUCACCAGAACGGACCUGACGGCAAGGGACGAAAGCUAGGGGCACGAACCGGAUUAGAUACCCGGGUAGUCCUAGCCGUAAACGAUACUCGCUAGGUGUCGGCCACGGUGCGACCGUUGUCGGUGCCGUAGGGAAGCCGUGAAGCGAGCCACCUGGGAAGUACGGCCGCAAGGCUGAAACUUAAAGG
rnacentral:rRNA from 1 species